rnacentral:lncRNA from 1 species
AAGAGGACAAUAUUGGUUCAGAGGAGAGUACUCCACAACCUCUAAAACGCCUUAAGACUCCAAGAUGAGGGGUAAUCCACUCUCUCCAAGAAGAAUAAGGCUCCAAUAUUGAGAAAGAAGAGAUAUCAGUUUAGAGGAGGGUAAUCCGCAACCUCUAAAACACUAGCACACCUUCAAGAAGAGGGGUAAUCCACUCUCUAACAAGAAG